CUUUUAUUAUUUUUUUCUCUCUCGCAUCUCUUUUCACAGCUGAUCGAACUCACCUCUUUCUUUCCUUUUUUUUCGCUCCAAAUUUAAACAUUAGCUCUCGUUGGACCUCCAUCAUCUCCUUCUUCAACAAUAAAUUCAGAUCUGGAAGGUGAAAUAGAAGUCAAUACCUCCAUCAUCCUCUUCUUCUACAAUGGAUCCAGAUCCAGAUAAGUCAAACUCACCUCUUUCUCUGGUGUUUUCAAUCAUAAAAUUCAUCUUGCGAUUAAUUGGGGUAAUUAUCUACUAGUGAAUAUUCUUAAUCAUCUUCAAUUGCAGAAAUUUAAUUUUUACUGUUAGGGUUGGGGUGGAUUUUCAAGCUUUUGAUUUUUCGGGUAUUAGUUUCGAUUAAGUGUUAUUUUUCUUGAUUAGGGAUGCGUUUACUUUAAAUGGUUCCUAUUGUGAUUCCUGAUGAUGAUGGUGAUGAAGUACAAGAUGACACAGUUUGCUAAUAAGAUUGCUUGUUACAUUGCUUAUCUGUUCUGUAAGGUGACGAAAUAGAAGAUGACUCAGUUUGCUAAUAAAGCUGGUGCUCUUAGUGAUGAAAUCACUAUUGUUCCUGAUAAGAGUGGUAGCUGAAUUGGAGAUAAAGAAGUUAGCGUACAUUGCUGAUGGAGUAGAAUACUACCUUUGAGAUGAAUGAGAUACCUUUGCCUCAAUGGAGGCCCGACCUGUAAACAAGAAGAUCCUAGAAGCUCCUACUUUACCAGCAUUACCAAGAAGUACCCCUCAUCUACCAGAGUUUCAGGAGUUUCAUUUGGAAACAUCAGAGAGGGCUAAUCAGCAUGCUUAAACUCAACAGUUGUAACAUCAAAUGAAUCUUCAAAUUGCAGUAUUAUCCUUAUUUGUUUCUCUUCUUAGUUGUCUUUGUGGACCAUAUGUUUCAUCUAUUUCUGGUAAUGCAAAUUAAAGUGAAAAUUUUGUUCAUGGUGUUAUUUAUAAACUUGUUGCCUGCUACAGGUAGUACAUUUUAGCUGGAAGAAGGACUCCCCUGAGAGUUGGCGUGGAUAUCCUAGCCAGGUUCACGCCAUUCUCCUGGAUUAUUCUUGCUCUGGUGCUAGAACUUUUGUUGACAGGUCGGAUCAUGUUCUUCCAUCAUAUACUGCAGGAAACACUACUCAACUUGCUACUUCGCAAUUACUUCGAUCAUAACACUUCAUAAUGGUGCCACCUGCAUUCCAAGUUCGAGUAGUAUAGGCAUGACCAUGUCAGUUCAUUAGCCAAUGCAAUAACAACUGAAGACGGAGUUAAUUUUAUAAGUAUAACUGGUUCAAUGCUCACACCUAAGUCCUUCAAUCAGCUCGGAUACAUCUAAUAGUCUCCCAAGUCCUGAUUCGUUGAUAUCUGCUUGGAUUAUUAACUGAUUUUUUGUUCGAAUUUUCCUCCUAAUAACUGGAUCUGGAAAUUUGAGACCACAUUCGGUUCCGACAAUGGCGUAUAAUAAAUAUAUAAGGGGAAGCGUGUUUGAAUCCUAAUAGUAGAAGGAUCUUGGAAUGUUGCUUAACCAGAUUUAAUGUAACCAACUUCAGUCAAUUAAAUCCUUUCAUUAAUGCCUAUGUGGUGGUGUAGUGUCUUAGUCAAACAUCUACAAAUUCCUCUGUUCAUUCCAGACAUUGAACCAGCUCUUAAUUAAUCCUAUCGAGCACAAGGUUUAAAAGAAAGGGAUUUUGCUCUUCGACUACUAGAUCUCAAGCAUCUCUCCAUCUAUGCAAUGGUUACUUGCUCUUUUAAGUUAUGUAUUAUAAAUCGUAAUGCUUCGUUCUGAGCCUCAAGCUCAGUUUUCAGCAGGCGUUCAGGCAUUAGGCUGAUGUUGAAAGUGGUUGAGGCUAUUCCAAAGAAUCCUGAUGACAAAACUCAGAUAUCUUUGCUAUAUGCUAACAUCUCACCAGACGACAUACCACUGAAGCAAAACUUGACAUACUCUUAGCUAGCAAUCCAGAUUUGAAGUUGAUUUUUGCAUCUUUAGUGGGAAGGUCUUCCUUACAUUUCUCCGGUAAUCCUGAUGUUGUUAGCAGUUCAAUGAGAAGAGACAAAUAUUUGCUUUUGAAAACCAUAAUUCAUAUUUGAUAUCCUUUUUUUCUAUGAACUUGAUUCUAAGUAUGUAACGAAACCAAUGAAUCAAUGAAUGUUAAAUUGAAUGAGUAUUUGUGGGCAAGUUUAAUUUGAUUCUCAUUUGAAUU